rnacentral:piRNA from 1 species
UGGAAAGGCUGGACGACGAAAGGAAGC